CCUUAGUUACCAGCACGUUAUGGUGGGCACUCUAAGGAGACUGCCCGGUGACAAACCGGAGGAAGGUGGGGAUGACGUCAAGUCAUCAUGGCCCUUACGGCCUGGGCUACACACGUGCUACAAUGGUCGGUACAAAGGGUUGCCAAGCCGCGAGGUGGAGCUAAUCCCAUAAAACCGAUCGUAGUCCGGAUCGCAGUCUGCAACUCGACUGCGUGAAGUCGGAAUCGCUAGUAAUCGUGAAUCAGAAUGUCACGGUGAAUACGUUCCCGGGCCUU
rnacentral:rRNA from 1 species